rnacentral:misc_RNA from 1 species
GGAUUCCUCCACGCCCUGGGGCUGAAUGUGACCGUCAUGGUCCGCUCCAUCUUACUCCGGGGGUUCGACCAGCAGAUGGCCGAGAAGAUCGGCGACUAUAUGGAGGUUGAAGGGGUCAAGUUCGUUCGACCCUGUGUCCCCACAAAGAUUGAAAAGCUGGAAGACGGUCAGCCCGGAAAAUACCGUGUGACCGGGAAAUACGACGAUGGAAUGGAGUUCACUGACGAAUUUAACACUGUGAUAUUUGCAAUAGGACGGGAUCCGUGUACCUCAAGUAUUGGCCUGGACAAAGUGGGCGUCAAGACCAACAAAAGUGGAUUUAUUCCAGUGGAUGAAGAAGAGAGUACAAAUGUGUCGAACAUUUACGCCAUUGGCGACAUAUGUGAGGGCAAGCCCGAGCUGACCCCGGUGGCUAUACAGGCUGGGAGACUGUUAGCCAACAGAUUGUACGGACUCGGAAAGGAAAGGACGGAUUACAUCAAUGUUCCCACGACGGUCUUCACUCCCCUGGAGUAUGGCUGUAUAGGUUACUCCGAAGAAGAUGCCAUCAAGAAGUUUGGUGAGGACAAACUAGAGGUUUACCACACAAACUUCUGGCCGCUAGAGUGGACAGUGGCCAAACGUCCAGAAAACUCCUGCUAUGCAAAACUCAUCUGUCUGAUCCCCGAAAAGGAGAAGGUGAUAGGGCUCCAUGUGUUGGGGCCUAAUGCAGGGGAGAUCACUCAGGGUUAUGCUGUGGCAAUGAGACUGGGAGCCACCAAGGCUGAUUUUGAUGCUACCAUCGGGAUCCACCCCACUUGCUCAGAGACGUUUACUACAAUGAACGUGACCAAGAGGAGCGGCAUGGACAUGCAGCAGGCGGGCUGCUGAGGUUAGACCCUGCCGCUGGACCAGUAAGCUGUAACCCUCACCCCCAGAGCAAACUGUAACCACCCCCCCAACACUUUGAAAUCCAGCCAACAAUUCACACAUCUUCUAAAAUGCUGACUUCAUCAGACAAGCAUAAACCUUAGGAAGUUAACCAACAAACUCACUGUUAUCUGGAUUUGAAGAGGAACAACUCAUUUCAGAUUGAAUUUUUUUGUUAUCAGACUGAUUUUUAUUUGGAAAAUGUGUAUACUCAUUUUUUUCUUUGGAAAACUUUAUCAAUUUUUUGUGUGAUAUGAGUAUGAACAUGCAUUCAUCAUGAAAAGACAUUUGAUAUUCUUCAUACCUCUUCCAUACUUUUUUUUUUUGGCUUUUGAAGUAAGAAUUACUUUGUCGUUAAGUUUAUUUUUUCCUAAGACUCGCAUUGUUCAAUCAUGCAUUUUGAUUUUUGGAUAAUAUUUCCCCCCCCCCCCCAUGCAAUGCACGUGAUUUACUUUUUCAUUUUCUGUUUUAAUAAUAUUGACAGAAUUGUGUACAUUUUUAUAUCCAUUUGUGCUGGGUUUUCUGUACUGUAAUAAUUUUGCUAUGAGAUGUAGUAACUGGAGAUUUGGGGGUCAGGUGUUUCAGCUUUCAGCGGCAGGGAAUCGUACAAUGGUUUCUGUGGUAAUUGUCUGUAACACAUGUUAAGUGUUCUUAAUGACGGACACGCCCAUCAACCUCAAAAUGAGGCAGGGUGCGACCAGAUGUGACAGUUGUCAUGGAAACCGCUAUUUUGACAAGUGCUACUAUUUUACUAGUGCUUGGAAAAUUCGAUUAUUAUUAUGGAUAUACCAUAUGUCAUUAAAUAUUUAUGUUGCCUAU